CAGCCGGGUAAUACGGAGGGUGCAAGCGUUAAUCGGAAUUACUGGGCGUAAAGCGCACGCAGGCGGUCUGACAAGUCAGAUGUGAAAUCCCCGGGCUUAACCUGGGAACUGCAUUUGAAACUGUCAGGCUGGAGUCUUGUAGAGGGGGGUGGAAUUCCAGGUGUAGCGGUGAAAUGCGUAGAGAUCUGGAGGAAUACCGGUGGCGAAGGCGGCCCCCUGGACAAAGACUGACGCUCAGGUGCGAAAGCGUGGGGAGCAAACAGGAUUAGAUACCCCUGUAGUCCCUGUCUCUUAUACACAU
rnacentral:rRNA from 1 species